rnacentral:rRNA from 1 species
GACGAGGGGUCCAAGCGUUGUUCGGAAUUAUUGGGCGUAAAGCGGGUGUAGGUGGCUCUAUAAGUCAGGAGUGAAAUCCCCGAGCUUAACUUGGGAAGUGCUUUCGAUACUGCAGAGCUUGAAUGUGGGAGAGGAUCGUGGAAUUCCAGGUGUAGUGGUGAAAUACGUAGAUAUCUGGAGGAACACCGGUGGCGAAGGCGGCGAUCUGGCCCAACAUUGACACUGAGACCCGAAAGCAUGGGGAUCAAACAGG